rnacentral:rRNA from 16 species
AACGGAAUAAUGUAGGCAAGGGAAGUUAGCAAAACGGAUCUGUAAGUUCAGGGAAAGGAUUGGCUCUAAGGACAGGGCUCAGGGGUUUGGGCCCCGAAUCAGUCGGCCGUCGGCGGAUUUCUCGAGCUGCUCACGCGGCGAGAGAGGGUCGCCGCAUGUCAGCUAGGGUACGGACCGGGAAUCGCCCCUUCGGGGGCUUUCCUCGAGCAUGAAACAGUCAACUCAGAACAGGUACGAACAAGGGCAAUCUGACUGUUUAAUUAAAACAAAGCAUUGCGAUGGUCCUUGCGGAUGCUGACGCAAUGUGAUUUGCGCAGAAUGCUCUGAAUGUCAAAGUGCAGAAAUUCAACCAAGCACGGGUAAACGGCGGGAGUAACUAUGACUCUCUUAAGGUAGCCAAAUGCGUCGUCAUCUAAUUAGUGACACGCAUGAAUGUAUUAACGAGAUUCCCACUGUCCCUCUCUACUAUCCAGCGAAACCACGGCCAAGAGAACGGGCUUGGCGGAAUCAGCGGGGAAAGAAGACCCUGUUGAGCUCGACUCUAGUCCGACUUUGUUAAAUGACUUGACAGGUGUAGGAUAAGUGGGAGCCCUUAUGGGUGCAAGUGAAAUAACACUAGUUUUAACAUUAUUUUACUUAUUCCGUGGGUCGGAAGCGGGGCUGUUUUAUCGGGCCGAUCCGGGAGAAAUACAUUGUCAGGUGGGCAGUUUGGUUGGGGCAGCACAUCUGUUAAAAGAUAACGCAGGGGUCCUAAGAUGAGCUCAACAAGAACACAAAUCUCAUGUGGAACAAAAGGGUAAAAGAUCGUUUGGUUCUGAAUUCCAGUAUGAAUAAGAACCAUGGAAGCAUGGCCUAUCGAUCCUUUAGAUCUUCGGAGUUCGAAGCUAGAGGUGUCAGAAAAGUUACCAUAGGGAUAUCUGGCUUGUGGCAGCCAAGCGUUCAUAGCGACAUUACUUUUUGAUCCUUCAAUAUCGGCUCUUUCUAUCAUUAUGAAGCAUAAUUCACCAAGUGUUGGAUUGUUCACCCACCAAUAGGGAACAUGAGCUGGGUUGAGACCGUCCAGAGUCAGGUUAGUUUUACCCUACUGAUGACAGUGUCGCGAUAGUAAUUUAACCUAGUACGAGAGGAACCAUUGAUUCACACAAUUGGUCAUCACGCUUGGUUGAAAAGCCAAUGGCGGGAAGCUACCGUGUGCCGGAUUAUGACUGAACGCCUCUAAGUCAGAAUCCAAGCUAGCAUGCGACGCGUGCGCCUGCCACUUGCCCCGACCCACGUUAGGGGCGCUUGCGCCCCCAAGGGCCCAUGCCAUUUGCUAACCCGGUCUAGCCGACAUGCCGUGAUCGGCCGCCUCGAAGCUCCCUUCCCAACGGGCGGUGGGCUGAAUCCUUUGCACACGACUUAAAUACGCGACGGGGCAUUGUAAGUGUUAGAGUGACCUUGCUGCCACGAUCCACUGAGAUCCAGCCCCAUGUCGCAUGGAUUC